AGUGAACGCUGGCGGCGUGCCUAAUACAUGCAAGUCGAACGGAGAUUAAGUAGCUUGCUAUUUAAUCUUAGUGGCGCACGGGUGAGUAAUAUAUAGCUAACUUGCCCAUUACUAAGGGACAACAGUUGGAAACGACUGCUAAUACCUUAUACUCCGUAUCUAUAUAAGUAGUUACGGGAAAGUUUUUCGGUACUGGAUAGGGCUAUAUCGUAUCAGCUAGUUGGUAAGGUAAUGGCUUACCAAGGCUAUGACGCGUAACUGGUCUGAGAGGAUGAUCAGUCACACUGGAACUGAGACACGGUCCAGACUCCUACGGGAGGCAGCAGUAGGGAAUAGUGCUCAAUGGGGGAAACCCUGAAGCAGCAACGCCGCGUGGAGGAUGACACUUUUCGGAGCGUAAACUCCUUUUCUUGGGAAAGAAUUAUGACGGUACCCAAGGAAUAAGCACCGGCUAACUCCGUG
rnacentral:rRNA from 1 species